UACGUAGGGGGCUAGCGUUGUCCGGAAUCAUUGGGCGUAAAGAGCGUGUAGGCGGCCUGGUAAGUCCGCUGUGAAAGUCGGGGGCUCAACCCUCGAAUGCCGGUGGAUACUGUCGGGCUAGAGUGCGGAAGAGGCGAGUGGAAUUCCUGGUGUAGCGGUGAAAUGCGCAGAUAUCAGGAGGAACACCGAUUGCGAAGGCAGCUCGCUGGGACGUCACUGACGCUGAGACGCGAAAGCGUGGGGAGCAAACAGG
rnacentral:rRNA from 1 species